rnacentral:rRNA from 1 species
UACGGAGGGGGCUAGCGUUAUUCGGAAUUACUGGGCGUAAAGCGCACGUAGGCGGCUGUUCAAGUCAGAGGUGAAAGCCCGGAGCUCAACUCCGGAACUGCCUUUGAAACUAGACAGCUAGAAUCACGGAGAGGUAAGUGGAAUUCCGAGUGUAGAGGUGAAAUUCGUAGAUAUUCGGAAGAACACCAGUGGCGAAGGCGGCUUACUGGACGUGAAUUGACGCUGAGGUGCGAAAGCGUGGGGAGCAAACAGG